rnacentral:misc_RNA from 1 species
GUAUUGUAUUGCGUUAAACGCGACAUACAUUCCAUAAGACUUUAUUACAGUGUGUGUGUAAAGAUGUAGAACCAGGGCAAGAGGGACAGGGUCCCCCCAUGCCAUAGAACCACAGAGGGUGCACAGGUGUGAGUGGAUGUGUAAACAGAGUGUGCACAUGCCCCCAUGUGAGGACCAGCAACAACUCGUGUCGACAGUUCAGUAAUGAUCCUUCCGCAGGUUCACCUACGGAAA